AUGGAACGCUGGCGGCAUGCCUUACACAUGCAAGUCGAACGGUAACAAGUCUUCGGAUGCUGACGAGUGGCGAACGGGUGAGUAAUACAUCGGAACGUGCCUAGGAGUGGGGGAUAACUACUCGAAAGAGUGGCUAAUACCGCAUGAGAUCUAAGGAUUAAAGCAGGGGAUCGCAAGACCUUGUGCUACUAGAGCGGCCGAUGGCAGAUUAGGGAGUUGGUGGGAUAAAAGCUUACCAAGCCGACGAUCUGUAGCUGGUCUGAGAGGACGAUCAGCCACACUGGGACUGAGACACGGCCCAGACUCCUACGGGAGGCAGCAGUGGGGAAUUUUGGACAAUGGGCGCAAGCCUGAUCCAGCAAUGCCGCGUGCAGGAUGAAGGCCUUCGGGUUGUAAACUGCUUUUGUACGGAACGAAAAGCCCCGGGUUAAUACCCUGGGGUCAUGACGGUACCGUAAGAAUAAGCACCGGCUAACUACGUGCCAGCCGCCGCCGUAA
rnacentral:rRNA from 1 species